GACGAACGCUGGCGGCGUGCCUAAUACAUGCAAGUAGAACGCUGAAGCGAGGAGCUUGCUCUUCUUGGAUGAGUUGCGAACGGGUGAGUAACGCGUAGGUAACCUGCCUUGUAGCGGGGGAUAACUAUUGGAAACGAUAGCUAAUACCGCAUAACAAUGGAUGACACAUGUCAUUUAUUUGAGAGGGGCAAUUGCUCCACUACAAGAUGGACCUGCGUUGUAUUAGCUAGUAGGUGAGGUAAUGGCUCACCUAGGCGACGAUACAUAGCCGACCUGAGAGGGUGAUCGGCCACACUGGGACUGAGACACGGCCCAGACUCCUACGGGAGGCAGCAGUAGGGAAUCUUCGGCAAUGGGGGCAACCCUGACCGAGCAACGCCGCGUGAGUGAAGAAGGUUUUCGGAUCGUAAAGCUCUGUUGUAAGUCAAGAACGGGUGUGAGAGUGGAAAGUUCACACUGUGACGGUAGCUUACCAGAAAGGGACGGCUAACUACGU
rnacentral:rRNA from 1 species